AUUGAACGCUGGCGGCAGGCCUAACACAUGCAAGUCGAGCGAGCGGCGGACGGGUGAGGAAUGUCUGGGAAACUGCCUGUUGGAGGGGGAUAACUACUGGAAACGCUAGCUAAUCCCGCAUAACAUCAGAUGUGCCCAGAUGGGAGUAGCUAGUAGGUGGGGUAACGGCUCACCUAGGCGACGAUCCCUAGCCGGUCUGAGAGGAGGACCAGCCACACUGGAACUGAGACACGGUCCAGACUCCUACGGGAGGCAGCAGUGGGGAAUAUUGCACAAUGGGCGCAAGCCUGAUGCAGCCAUGCCGCGUGUGUGAAGAAGGCCUUCGGGUUGUAAAGCACUUUCAGCGGGGAGGCGUUACCCGCAGAAGAAGCACCGGCUAACUCCGUGCCAGCAGCCGCGGUAAUUC
rnacentral:rRNA from 1 species